GAAAAAGUUGAUUAAACUGACAUCAACAGAAAAGCUUAACCUCACAAAGGAGUUUUAACAGUGAAAGUGGGGGUAGUUCAAGCGCUUGUAAAUCCCAGUUCCAGUUAGCAUCUGGAAUCCAAAGACAAAUAACCAGAACUGCCUACAAGAGACUCGAAAAUGAACUGUCUGAAUGUGGACAAAAACUUUUAGAACGUAACUUAGAAA